GAAAUGCGAUAAGUAAUGUGAAUUGCAGAAUUCAGUGAAUCAUCGAAUCUUUGAACGCAUCUUGCGCUCCUUGGUAUUCCUUGGAGCAUGCCUGUUUGAGUAUCAUGAAAUCUUCAAAGUAAAUCUUUUGUUAACUCAAUUGGUUUCUACUUUGGUAUUGGAGGUCUUUGCAGCUUCACACCUGCUCCUCUUUGUUCAUUAGCUGGAUCUCAGUGUUAUGCUUGGUUCCACUCGGCGUGAUAAGUUAUCUAUCGCUGAGGACACUGUAAAAGGUGGCCAAGGUAAAUGCAGAUGAACCGCUUCUAAUAGUCCAUUGACUUGGACAAUACUUUUAUGAUCUGAUCUCAAAUCAUGUAGGACUACCCGCUGAACUUAAGC
rnacentral:misc_RNA from 1 species